rnacentral:rRNA from 1 species
GACGAACGCUGGCGGCGUGCUUAACACAUGCAAGUCGAACGGAAAGGCCCUGCUUUUGUGGGGUGCUCGAGUGGCGAACGGGUGAGUAACACGUGAGUAACCUGCCCUUGACUUUGGGAUAACUUCAGGAAACUGGGGCUAAUACCGGAUAGGAGCUCCUGCUGCAUGGUGUGGGUUGGAAAGUUUCGGCGGGUGGGGAUGGACUCGCGGCUUAUCAGCUGGUUGGUGGGGUAGUGGCUUACCGAGGCUUUGACGGGUAGCCGGCCUGAGAGGGUGACCGGCCACAUUGGGCCUGAGAUACGGCCCAGCCCCCUACGGGAGGAAGCAGUGGGAAAUAUUGCACAAUGGGGGGAAGCCUGUUGCAGCAACGCCGCGUGCGGAAUGACGGCCUUCGGGUUGUAACCCGCUUUCGCCUGUAACAAGGCGUGAGUGACGGUAAUGGGUAAAGAAGCACCGGCUAACUACGUG